AUUUUAUCUGUGAUCCAGAUCAGCCUAGAAUGCUAUUAAUUUGGAUUUGACUGCCAGCAGAAAACAACAUUCACUAAUAUCCACUUUUUAGCUAGGUAAUCGUGUAGUAAUUAGGAUGCGUGUUGUACAUAAUCUUGAUUUGAAUAAUCCUCGCUUAGUUUUUUGUCUACAUAGACAAAAAAGCUAUUUUGUCAGUAUUUUGGAAGUAGGAAAUCAUCUUGAUUAUUUUAAUCAAAAUCAGCAUUUGUGAAUUGUGGCAUUCUUUUAGGAACAAUUAGUGUACAAGGCAGAGAUUUGUCUCUCUGCCCUGCGUUGUAGAUUCGUCUUGAAUGCAUUAAGAUAGAGCAAAAGAGGCAGUCUCGGGGCCCCAGACUCACACAUGCUGGCCUCGUCUCUAGGUCCUGGUGGCCUGAGGGCUAGCUUUGGUGGCGAUUCUGUAUGAGCUCUACUGACAGCUCUGCCACUCAGGAGUGGGGACCUUGGGCAAAUGAUGGCACCUCAGUUUCCUCUUUUGUAAACAGGGAGACUGAUAUCUACGUGGGAAUUAGUUACAGCAUGUUGGACUUCUCCCAGUGUCGUUUCUUUAUGCUUUUGUCACCAAGACACGGCGUCUCACAGUGAUCUAGGGCAGCGGUCGGCCAGCCUCUUCUGUGAAGAGCUGGACAGUAAAUAUUUUAGGCCUCGUGGGCCAUAUGUUCUUUGCUGUAGCUACUCAGCUCUGCCGUGUAGUUCAAAAGCAGCCAGGGAGGAUACAUAGAUGAAUGGGCGUGGGUUUGGUCCAUGGGCCAUGGUUUGCCAAGCUCUCAUCUGGAGCGAGUCUUUGGAAUCAGACAAACAUAAUUUGGGAUCUGAUCUGACGCUCAGCUAUUGCAUGCGACCUUGGACAAAGUACGUAAGUUCUCGUUUCUCCGUAUCAACACAGGCUGGAGUGAGGGUUAGGUGAAGUAGCAGAGGAAGAGCGUUAGCACAGAGCUGGGCACCCGGCGCAGGAAGUAGUCUCCAAUACUCUUACCUCUCACUGCCUGUAUCUCUUUCCUGGAGCUUCAGCCAUUCCUUUCCUCUGCUCCAGCUAAUAGAAGGUGAAGAAGGGUAAGACACAGGGCCAGUGGCCUGGGCUCAGGGGCCUUCAGGGUGGACCAUGAGCUCUGUAACUGGAGAAGCUGGUGUUGGAGAGGUGACACCCUGGGGCUGUUCCCAGGACCGAUGCCCAGCUUGGCAGAGUGGAUGGUCCUUUAUAGCAAGUGUCCUUUUCUGUCUACUUAGUGCCAUGAUUUUCACAUUUUUGUGUUUUUUGUUGGUGAUUUGGAAACAGCCCCCGAGUGUAGUACAGAAGUGCUGUCUAGCGUUCCUAAGUACAAGAAAGCUGUGAUGUGCCUCACAGUGAAAAUCCUUGUGUUAGGUAAGGUUUAUUCAGGCAUCAGUUGUAGCGCUGUUGGCCAUGAGUUCAAUGUUAAUGAAUAAACAAUAUCUGUUAAAUAAUAUGUCUUUAAAUAGAAACACACAUAAAACAAGGUUGUGUAUUUACUGAUUCUUGAAAACAUGCCCAGAGGCUCGCAGGAACCUAGUGUUGUGUUUUCCAGAGGAGUGAUGGUUUAGUAUUUGCUAAUUCAGACUUCCGGUGACUUUCUAGAACAGAGCUAUGACAAAUAAUGAGGAUCAACUGCAUUAGGUCCUACGUCCCUUAACAAGAAUGGUUCCAGCUGUAUCAUGAGAGUGAGAACCUGAUUGUGGCGUUUUGAGGAUCGAAUGGGAGGGGCUGAAGUGUAGAUGGCGAGUGUACACGUGUCCUUCGAGAAGCUGAAGUGGGGUGAGAAAGCCCGGGGAGAUGUUUUUACUCGUGGUAGGUGCUCCAUAAAUGAUUUUUGAUUGAAUUGAGAGAGAAACCCGAAAUUUAAGUUCCUUAAUGAAUUCUAUGUUUCACCUUAGCUGGACUCUUCCUGUCACUUUGGAGAAUCUUUAAUCUUGAUUAAAUAAUUAAAUUUCUAUCAAGAAUUACCCUGAAGUACAUUACAUAGAGUUGUCCAUGUGAGAAGCAGUUGGGUUACAAAAUAAUAUCUGUGAUUUGGGUCAUCCAUCUUUGUGGCUUUCAACUUAGAUUUGAAUAUUGUGUUUUUAAAACCUGUCCUUUUGGGGGCCGGCCCCGUGGCUGAGUGGUUAAGUUCGUGCGCUCCGCUGUAGUGGCCCAGGGUUCGGAUCCUGGGCGCAGACAUGGCACUGCUCGUCAGGCCACGUUGAGGCGGCGUCCCAUAUGCCACAACUAGAAGGACCUGCAACUAAGAUAUACAACUAUGUACCAGGGGGGAUUUGGGGAGAUGAAGCAGGGAAAAAAAAAAAGAUUGGCCACAGUUGUUAGCUCAGGUGCCAAUCUUUAAAAAAAAAAAAAAAAAAAAAAACACCUGUCCUUUUGGUUAGGAUUGCCAGAGAAAAUAUAGGAUGCCCAGUUGCAUCUGAAUUUCAGAUAAACAACAAAUACGUUUUUAGAAUAAGUAUGUUCCAUGCGCUACUUGCUGAAUCUGGCAACUUUGCAGAUGGUGCCUUAGUAUGGUUGACCUGUCUGCUUGGAUUGGUGUGACUCUGGCAUCUUGUGGAACUCCUGUGUCAGUGGACAGAGGGAUUUGGGAUUUCGCCAGCAUCUCUCCUGAGUGAAUUUCAGUCUGAUGCAUAUUAAGGCAGACCAUUGCAAAAAUACUGUCCAGCUUGCCAAUUGUAGGUGAUGUGCUAAUAUUCAGAAAGAAAUCUAAUUUCAUUCUCAUUCCCAUGUAGUUUUCCUGGCAGCACAGGGAGGAAUGAGGUGUGGUUGACUGUGGAUCUGGAAGCCUGUGGAUCAUCUCAGCUUCAUCCCUGACCUGCUGUGUGACCUUCAUAGGGCACUUCACCAUUCUGGGCCCGGGUUCUUUGGAUCUGAAAAUCAAGGCCUUAAGGGAAGAGGUCCCCAAGGCCUUUUCCAGCUGUAAAACUCAAUGAAACAUUGAAAAGAAACAUUCGUGAUCUGUUUAGGGGAGAGCAGCCUCUGAAUCAUUACCAAGACUCUGCACCAAAGGCGAAAAUUUUCUCCUGCUGGAGAAUGCCUGGAAACAGAUGCUGCUGCUAUGCAAAUGGCUCCCAGUGUACAAACGGGUAAAGGCAGGGCAGGCUGCAGCCAGGGGCUACACUCCAUGAAUAAUAACCAUGUGGUGCUGACGGUGACAGCAAAGGCUUCCUUGUGCCCGGUGCUUACAUUAUACCCAGGCACUGUUCCAGGCGCUUCACACGCCUUAUCUCCAGAUCCCACAGUAGCUCCCACCGUGCAACAAUCCACAUAGCACUAGCCUGAUUCUUUCUCUCUUCUCAUUGGGCAGGGGAUAUGGAUUGGGGGACCAGGGAAGGGAAAAAUGAUUCAUGUUCUAAGGCUGGAGAGGACAGACAAAAUGAUCAUUAUCCUUCUUUUGGAGAUCAGGAAAUUGAGGCUCAGAGAGGUUAAUUGGCUUUCUAGGUCUCCUGCACACCAGCAGCAAAGCUGAUGUUAGAACCCAAGACUCUGGCUCCAAAACCCCCUUGACUAUAUCUUCAGCCUGGCCAUAAACAGGCGAAAAUUCAAAUGGCCUCUCUGACGUCGACACUUUUAUUCCCAGGACCGUAGAAAUGGAGAGCUGUGAAGUCAAGAGCUUAGCCUUGAUUACCUGGUCUGGCAGGUGAAAGCCUGUUUGUAUUUCACACAUAGAUUGAAUUUCUUGAAUCAGACCUGGCAAACACUCUCAUAUAGUGGACUCUCUGAUUUAAGGUAAAAAGCUGUGAUUAAAUAUAACCAUCCUUGUGAAUCACAACAGAAAUACAGUGUGCAGGUCGAUCUCUCCUGCUGUGCAUCCCUUGGGGCUUUAACUCUAACAGGUAAUACAUUUGCAUUUAUUUGCAUACAGGCUUAAUGUUUUGAAACAGUGCAUCACUUCAGGGGUGGAUUGCCUCAUUCGUGAGGACUUUGGUGGUGCAAAUAAAGCCAAGCCUUCCAUUCUGAGGAGGCAAUAAAAGCCGAGAAAAGAGAGCACGGGACCAGGACCUUAAGUUCAGCCCUUACCUUGGACACAGCCUCUCUAGAGGUGGAAGGUGCCGUCUUCACAAGUUGCACAAGUUGGUCCCCCUGCCAGGGAUGCGCUCACUAGAUCUGCUCUCGUGACGGACAUUCACGGGAUGGGGAAGGGAUGACCUGGCCUGAGGUGGGCGUAAUCCCCCACCCAUGUCACGUUAGCCUGAUUGCCUUCUUUUCUUCAAGGGGCGUUGACCUGGGUGAUGAGGGAAGGCAAGACUGAUUCACUUCUACAGCCUCUGGGGCCAGGCUCAAGGGGAUGGAUGAAGGAGACAGGACUUCAUCCAGAAUGAGCUCCCAGCUGAGAGGCGAUGAGGUGCAGGUGCCCAGCUAGGGGAGGAAAGAGCGGGGCUUGAAAGUUUGGGAAGAGGUUGCUGAGUUCACAAAUUUUUUUCUGGGAGCGUAAUUAUCAGAGAGUAAUGACUCGCUUUGAACUAUGAGAAUGGGGCUGGAUUCCUCUAUCAGGUAUAAAGCUCCAUUCAAAGACUCGAUUGCCAUGUAAUCCGAAAAGCCGAGGUAUAAAAUUUGCUUUAAUAAAAACGAUCAAAUUGAUUCCAAAGCAAUCAUGCCUGAUACUGGGGGGCCAGGCCUCCUAAGUACUUCACAGGAGCAUCUCAUUUAAUACUUUUGUUUGUUUGUUUUGAGGAAGCCCUGAGAUAACUGCUGCCAAUCCUCCUCUUUUUGCUGAGGAAGACUGGCCCUGAGCUAACAUCCAUGCCCAUCUUCCUCUACUUUAUAUGUGGGAUGCCUACCACAACAUGGCGUGCUAAGCGGUGCCAUGUCUGCACCCAGGAUCUGAACUGGCGAACCCCUGGCCGCCGAAGCGGAAAGUGCACGCUUAACCGCUGCUCCACCAGGCUGGCCCCUCAUUUAAUUCUUACCACACCGCUGUGAAGCCCAGAUUAUUACACCCAUUUAAUAGGUGAGAAAAUUAAGGCUCAGAGGCUAAAGUAACUUGCCUGAGGUCACACAGAUGAGUAAGUAGGGAGGUCAGGUUUUAAACUCAGGUCUGUUUGGUUCCGAAACUUAAGCUCUUUA
rnacentral:lncRNA from 1 species